rnacentral:rRNA from 1 species
UGCAGUAUCUUGACUGUACAAAGGUAGCAUAAUCAUUAGUUUUUUAAUUGAAAGCUGGAAUGAAUGGCUGAAUAAGGAGAUAGCUGUCUCAUUUAAAUUAGCUAGAAUUUUAUUUUUGAGUUAAAAAGCUCAAAUUUUAUAGAAAGACGAGAAGACCCUAUAGAGUUUAAUAGGUUUAAGUUUCUUUUAUUUAAAGAUUUAAUUUUAAUAGAAGUUUAGCCUAUUUUGUUGGGGUGACAAUUGAAUUUAAUUAACUUCUUAUUAUUAAAUCAUUGAUUAAUGAAUAUAUGAUCCUGACCUUUGGAUUUAAAGAUAAAAUUACCUUAGGGAUAACAGCGUAAUUUUUUUGGAGAGUUCUUAUCGAUAAGAAAGAUUGCGACCUCGAUGUUGGAUUAAAGUUUAAUUUUGGUGGAGAAGCUGGAAUGUUAAGACUGUUCGAC